GUCCCUUUAUUCUCCACAAACCUUUUUGAACCAAUUUACCAAUCUCUCUCAUAUUAAACUUCUACUCUCGUGGGAAACCAUCCAUACAUUUUCCCUCUCAUCGUUUCCGUAGUUAUCUCCCUCAGCUUCGUCUCCUGCAUGCUCUGUGUUGCCGCCGACUUCGAGAAAUCUAAGGAUCUUGUAAUAACCCAAUGAAUAAAAGCAAGAAAGUGGAGAGGCAAAACAGAAUUGCAAGAGCAGGAAUUGAAGAAGAAGAAGAAGUGUAAGAGGGUAAAGAGAGAAUUGAGAGGAAGAGAUAAUAGAGAAUUAGGAGCAGAUUACAGCAGAGAAAACACCAUAGAAAGAAGGAAGAAAGUGAGAUUGAGAAAGAGAGACGAGAAGAACAGAGAAAUGUAUUUCAUUCAAAUUUCAAGCAUGAUUUUUUUUUUUCAAUAAAAUCCCAAAUUAUAUA